UGCGGAGCUGGUCCCGGGAGA
rnacentral:miRNA from 1 species